GCGUGCCUAAACAUGCAAGUCGAACGAAAUAUCUUCGGAUAUUUAGUGGCGAACGGGUGAGUAAUGUACAGGUAAUGUACCUCCGACUGCGAAUAACAAGCUGAAAAGUUUGCUAAUACGGAAUAGUUUCCUCAGAGGGCAUCCUUAGAGGAAUAAAGAUUUAUCGUGCGGAGAUCAGCCUGUAUCCUAUUAGUUAGUUGGUGGGGUAAUGGCCUACCAAGACGACGAUGGGUAACUGGUCUGAGAGGAUGAGCAGUCACAUUGGAACUGAGAAACGGUCCAAACUCCUACGGGAGGCAGCAGUGAGGAAUUUUGCGCAAUGGGGGAAACCCUGACGCAGCAACGCCGCGUGAGUGAUGACGGCCUUCGGGUUGUAAAGCUCUGUCGUGUGUGACGAGUAGGGACGGUAACACACAAGGAAGCCUCGGCUAACUACGUGCCAGCAGCCGCGGUAAGACGUAGGGGGCAAGCGUUAUCCGGAAUCACUGGGCGUAAAGAGCUCGUAGGUGGAAAUGUAAGUUAUUGAAUUAAGCCCAAUGCUUAACAUUGGUUUAUUUGGUUAUACUGCAUAUCUU
rnacentral:rRNA from 1 species